GUUAUCAUCUCAACAGCCACAGUAACUUUCCUCCAUCAGCCUACAGGGACUUUGUGUGGAAAGAAAUAAUAGAAGAAUAAAUGGCGCCAAACUAUAAGACAACAGGAAAGUCACUAGGAACAGCAGUGAAAGAUGGAGGUUCCAGUUCAGGAAAAUAUUAAAACAGAGAUUUCAAAGGGACUUCAUAAAAUGCUUGAAGUGAUAUUUUAAUGUAAUAACAAGAGAUUUGGAAAUAAAUCACCAAAGCUAUAAAACUCAUAUAUGCAUGUCCCAUGCUGAUUGUAACACAACUUGUUUACCAAGGAAGAGGAAGUCUUGCUUACAUGGCAGAAAGCAAGGGGAAAAGAGUUUCUCUUUGUCAUU